CCAGACUCCUACGGGAGGCAGCAGUGAGGAAUAUUGGUCAAUGGCCGGAAGGCUGAACCAGCCAAGCCGCGUGAAGGACGAAGGUGCCAAGCAUUGUAAACUUCUUUUGUCAAGGGACAAAAUCAGGCUCGAGAGCCUGACCGAGGGUACUUGAAGAAAAAGCAUCGGCUAACUCCGUGCCAGCAGCCGCGGUAAUACGGAGGAUGCGAGCGUUAUCCGGAUUUAUUGGGUUUAAAGGGUGCGCAGGCGGAGGUGCAAGUCAGUGGUCAAAUUGCGGGGCUCAACCCCGUACUGCCGUUGAAACUGCAUCCCUUGAGUGCGCGAGAAGUAUGCGGAAUGCGUGGUGUAGCGGUGAAAUGCAUAGAUAUCACGCAGAACUCCGAUUGCGAAGGCAGCAUACCGGCGCGCAACUGACGCUCAUGCACGAAAGCGUGGGUAUCGAACAGGAUUAGAUACCCGAGUA
rnacentral:rRNA from 1 species